AACUAAAUAAAAGCUUUGAAUUAAAUUAAAUUAGAAAACAGCAUUUCCUUGGUUUCAAAAUGAUUGACAUUUAAAAAUAAAUUUAAAUAGAAAUAAUUACUAUUUUUUUUAUCUGUGUUAUGUAUAGUUUAAUAGUUUAAAAUAAAUGUUAAUUAAAAUCUGAAGUUGAACAGUUUAUUAUUUAAAAUAGAAUUAAUUUUUCUUUCAUAAUGAACAAACCACACAACAUGAACAUGUUCAUGUUCAUCAACACACUCAACUACUAGUAAAAAAAACAUCGUUCUCUUUCUGCAUACGUGUUCUCUGCUCUCUAUUUUCGUGCUUGAAAAAUUGAGAACUGAAAGGUACGUAAAUUCACAUCAAUAUUUCGUUUUCUUUUAAUAAACAGAAAAUAAUUCAUUUAUUUUGGAUAAUAGAAAAUAAAAUAUUUUUACUUAUAAACGAAAAAUAUAAUAUAAAAUAUUUAGAGGACCAAAAUAUAUUUAAUUCUAUAUUUUAAUUUUUCAACCUAAGAUCUUGUUGACGAAAAACACAUAUCGUCUCUUCUAAUUUCUUUCCACAUUAUCACAUUAAAUAUUAACAUAAAAUGGUGGCUUGAUGCUAGUAUAUUGAAUUUUCAGUUCUUAAAAUUAAUAUAAGUGGCAAUUUGAUGCAAUAUUAUCUUUCAUAAGGGGAGAGAAAGAGAAAGAGAAACAGUGUAUUGAGACACACCUUUAACAUCUUUUGUC
rnacentral:lncRNA from 1 species